rnacentral:tRNA from 1 species
GUGCCUGUAGCUCAGUCGGAUAGAGCAUCUGCCUUCUAAGCAGAGGGCCCCGUGUUCGAGUCACGGCAGGCGCGCCA